rnacentral:rRNA from 1 species
UGAGGAAUAUUGGGCAAUGGGCGAAAGCCUGACCCAGCAACGCCGCGUGAAGGACGAAGGCCUUCGGGUUGUAAACUUCUUUUAUGGGGGAAGAGGAAGGACGGUACCCCAAGAAUAAGUCACGGCUAACUACGUGCCAGCAGCCGCGGUAAUACGUAGGUGACAAGCGUUAUCCGGAAUUACUGGGCGUAAAGCGCACGCAGGCGGCGCACUAAGUCUGACGUGAAAUCUCUCGGCUUAACCGGGAGGGGUCGUUGGAGACUGGUGAGCUUGAGGCGAUGAGAGGGGUGUAGAAUUCCCGGUGUAGUGGUGGAAUGCGUAGAUAUCGGGAGGAAUACCAGUGGCGAAAGCGGCACCCUGGCAUUAGCCUGACGCUCAUGUGCGAAAGCGUGGGGAGCGAACG